rnacentral:sRNA from 1 species
UUGUUAAAUAAUAAUAUAAUAUUAUUUCUUAAACUAGAAAGGUAAUUCAAUGUUCAUAACAUACUACAGUGUAUCUGGCGGUCCAAUUAUUAAAACUUCCCAG